GACAGAGGGUGCAAACGUUGCUCGGAAUUACUGGGCGUAAAGCGCGUGUAGGCGGACCACCAAGUCAGGCGUGAAAUCCCUGGGCUCAACCCAGGAACUGCACCUGAAACUGGCGGUCUUGAGUGGUGGAGAGGGAAGCAGAAUUCCUGGUGUAGAGGUGAAAUUCGUAGAUAUCAGGAGGAACACCGGUGGCGAAGGCGGCUUCCUGGACACUAACUGACGCUGAGACGCGAAAGCGUGGGGAGCAAACAGG
rnacentral:rRNA from 1 species